CUACGGGGUGCUGCAGUGAGGAAUAUUGCACAAUGGGGGGAACCCUGAUGCAGCAACGCCGCGUGGAGGAUGACGCAUUUCGGUGUGUAAACUCCUUUUAUAUGUCAAGAAAAUGACGGUAGCAUAUGAAUAAGCGCCGGCUAACUCCGUGCCAGCAGCCGCGGUAAUACGGAGGGCGCAAGCGUUACUCGGAAUCACUGGGCGUAAAGGACGCGUAGGCGGGUUGGAAAGUCAGGUGUGAAAUCCUACAGCUUAACUGUAGAACUGCACUUGAAACUUCUAAUCUAGAGUAUGGGAGGGGGAGAUGGAAUUAGUGGUGUAGGGGUAAAAUCCGUAGAUAUCACUAGGAAUACCUAAAGCGAAGGCGAUCUCCUGGAACAUUACUGACGCUAAGGCGUGAAAGCGUGGGGAGCAAACAGGAUUAGAUACCCCAGUAGUC
rnacentral:rRNA from 1 species